AACCCCAGCCCCCACACUGGUUUCUUGACCUGUGUGAUAGGAGAAGCUGUCUCUCUCCCUGUAUGCCAACAAAUCAAAAACAGUCCUAGGGGAAUGUUAGAGGUUAGUAGCAUCUUUAAAAACCUAAAGAGUAAAGGAAUGCUGGUCUCCAAUGUGUUUCCAUUUAAUUCAUCAGUCUGGGUCAUGAAGAAUCCAGGUGCAUCCUGGAGGGUGACAGUACACUAUCACAUGUCCAGGCAGAUAUGAGCUCUACUGCAGCAGCUGUGCCAGCUAGAGCAGUGGCACAGCUGCAGGAAUGUGGUUGGCAGUCACUGAUCUGGCAAAUGCUUUUCUAUCCCAUAAAUCUCCAAAAAAGAGGAUCAGAAAGAGUUGACCUACUCUUAGAAUCAGCCCCAGAGUACAUUUACAGUCCCUUCCCAAAUCGUUGCUAAUACUUCCACCCUGUCAUAACAUGGACUAAAAAGACCCGGACUGGCAGGACAUUUCCCAGAAUGUCACAUCACAGUGGUCCAUUGUAUCAGUGGAUCAUGAGUCCCUGACCAGACCUGUGUCAUCACCCAUGAUGUGCCAAUACCUCCCUCUCAGCUCACAUCCAUGGCCAUACAUGGAGUUCCUUAUGACCAACCAUCAGAGUAGGAUUGAGCUCAAGCUUUGUUCACAUGGAUUGGCCUAGGAUGUAGAAACAAGCCAAAAAGGGAUGGCAGCUGUGCUACUGUACCCAUUAGGAGUGACUUUGAAAAACGGUCAAGGGAGGAAGUCUCCCGGUGGCAAAGUUUCAGGAAUUAUUCCAGGUCAUCUCCUACAUGUGGAAAGAAGAGCAGCUGGAGGUUGGGAUAUCUAUGCAGUUUCAUGGACAGUGGUGAAUGUUUGUGUCAGUUGGUCAGGAGCCUUGAACAGAAAGAAGUCUGGGUUAAAGACGUGUGUAUGGGUCACUGAGCAAAGUCACAACGUGUGAAGACUUUUGUAUUGGAUGUUAAUGCCUAUCAGAAAAUAUCCAUUGCAGAAGAGGCAGUAAGCUAUUGGAUAGAUAAGAUGACUUGACAGAUAUCAGUCUCUGUUAUGGGUCACAAUGAGCUCAUGGAAAUGGCAGGAAUGGAGGCUCCCACUGACCGUCUAGCUAUUGAUGCUGCCAAAUGUCCAAUGUGCUAGGUCACUUUGAGCCACUGAUAUGGUAUCAUCUCUGAAAGCCCUAGGUGGCAAGUUGACUAUAACAGAUCCCUACUAUCCUGGAGGUUCAAGGGAUUUGUACAUAGGGACAGAGCUGUAUUUCAGGUACAGGUUUGCCUUUCCUUCCCUAGGGGGUCUCUGGCACAUUAAUACCUAAAUGAUUACAGAGUGAUUCACCAACAGGAUUUUUCAUAGAACAUUGCAUCAUGACAUUACAAAAGGAGAUGCAGCCCUGAGCAUAUGACUGUGGGACCCACUGGUUUUAUCACAUACCACAUCACCUGACUUGGAACACCAACCUCCAGAAUGCAGAGUACAUAUUAAAUCAAAAAUUUUACUGUGUCCUUAAUAGAUAGACUAUGUGGGUCCAAGAACUAAGGAGUGAAAAUCGGAGAGGUUCACUUUGCAUCAAACCUCACUUCCCAUCACUGCAAUGUUGUUUUGCAGAUUUAGAUGUUAUGGUUCUUUGGGGUAUAUAUUUCCACCGGGGGGGCACCAUAAGAGUCCUACUGAAUUCCAGGGGCUCCGGAGGCUGAAGAAGGAGGACCACAAGUUCAAAGCCAGCCUCAGAAACUUAGUGAGGUCCUAAGCAACUCAGCGAGACCCUGUCUCUAAAUAAAAUAUAAAAAAAGGCUCAGUGGUUAAGCUUAAAGUAUGGCACUUUAAACUCUUUGUGCCAAUGAAUGAGUCAAGAAAAGUCACUAUCUUGGUGGGGUUACAGACCUGAUCAUGAGUGGGAAAUAAGACCACUGCUACACGGUGGGAACAGAAUGGACUGGGUUUACAUUCAGGUGAUGACUGAAGCUUCCUUUAGUACUUCCUUACCCAGUUCAGGUGAUAAAUGGGUAAAUUCAGCAGCCAGGUCUGAGAAGAACCAUCAGCUUAGAUCCUCAUGUUUGAAGAUCUGGGUCAGCCCUCCAACCAAACAGAGGUGAUAACCAAAGAUGAGAAAUAAAAACAGGUCAUUUAAAAUAGAGGAGAAAUUUGAUGAGUAUCGGCUGUAGCUUUUUUUGUGGAGGGGGUCACUAAGGAUGGAACCCAGGGGUGUUUUACAACUGACACACAUCCUUAGCCUUUUCAUAUUUUGAGACAGAAUCUGAGGGCCUCGCUAAAUUGCCAAGGCUGUUCUGAAAUUUGCGAUCUUC
rnacentral:lncRNA from 1 species